rnacentral:rRNA from 1 species
GAUGAACGCUGGCGGCGUGCCUAAUACAUGCAAGUCGAGCGAACGGACGAGAAGCUUGCUUCUCUGAUGUUAGCGGCGGACGGGUGAGUAACACGUGGAUAACCUACCUAUAAGACUGGGAUAACUUCGGAAAACCGGAGCUAAUACCGGAUAAUAUUUUGAACCGCAUGGUUCAAAAGUGAAAGACGGUCUUGCUGUCACUUAUAGAUGGAUCCGCGCUGCAUUAGCUAGUUGGUAAGGUAACGGCUUACCAAGGCAACGAUGCAUAGCCGACCUGAGAGGUGAUUCGGCCCACCGUAACCUGAGCACCGGCCCGGACCCUCCCGGGGGGCGGCGUGGGGAAAUCUGCCGCAUGGGGGGAAACCCUACCGGGGCAACCCCCGUGGGGGAAGAAAGGUCUCCGGUUGUAAAAACUCUUUUUUUGGGGAAAAACAUAUUUGUAAGUAACUGUGCACUUCUGACGGUUACCAAAGAAGAAACCCCCGCUAAACUCGUG